GAUGAACGCUGGCGGCGUGCCUAAUACAUGCAAGUCGAGCGAACGGACGAGAAGCUUGCUUCUCUGAUGUUAGCGGCGGACGGGUGAGUAACACGUGGAUAACCUACCUAUAAGACUGGGAUAACUUCGGGAAACCGGAGCUAAUACCGGAUAAUAUUUUGAACCGCAUGGUUCAAAAGUGAAAGACGGUCUUGCUGUCACUUAUAGAUGGAUCCGCGCUGCAUUAGCUAGUUGGUAAGGUAACGGCUUACCAAGGCAACGAUGCAUAGCCGACCUGAGAGGGUGAUCGGCCACACUGGAACUGAGACACGGUCCAGACUCCUACGGGAGGCAGCAGUAGGGAAUCUUCCGCAAUGGGCGAAAGCCUGACGGAGCAACGCCGCGUGAGUGAUGAAGGUCCUCGGAUCGUAAAACUCUGUUAUUAGGGAAGAACAUAUGUGUGAGUAACUGUGCACAUCUUGACGGUACCUAAUCAGAAAGCCACGGCUAACUACGUG
rnacentral:rRNA from 1 species